UUUGGGAUGGCUGAGCCGCCCCUUGGCCCAUCCCUGGGGAUUUUUGGGAAUGCUGAAACCCCUUGUGUCACCUUCUGGGGGUUUUUGGGAUGGCUGAGCUCCCCUGGGGGUUUUUGGGAUGGCUGAGUCCCCCUGGGGCCCCCCUGGGGGAUUUUUGGGAUGGCUGAGCCCCCCUGGGGGCCCCCCUGGGGGGUUUUUGGGAUGGCUGAGCCCCCCCUUGGCCAAUCCCUGGGGAUUUUUGGGAAUGCUGAACCCCCUUGUGUCACCUUCUGGGGGUUUUGGGGAUGGCUGAGCUCUAUUUGAGCUCCCCUGGGGGU